UCCAGGUUAGCCUAGUGGACAUGGCAUCUACCCGGUAAGCGGAACACUGUGAGUUCGAUUCCCUAUCCCUGAAA